rnacentral:rRNA from 1 species
UACGGGGGGGGCAAGCGUUGUUCGGAAUUACUGGGCGUAAAGGGCGCGUAGGUGGCCAACUAAGUCAGACGUGAAACCCUCGGCUCAACCGGGGGAACUGCGUGUGAUACUGGCGGGCUUGAAUUCGGGAGAGGGAUGUGGAAUUCCAGGUGUAGCGGUGAAAUGCGCAGAUAUCAGGAGGAACACCGGUGGCGAAGGCGGGUCACUGGCUCGACACUGACGCUGAGGUGCGAAAGCGUGGGGAGCAAACAGG